GGGUCGAUGAUGAAAACCCAUAUGGUCCUGAAGAGAGGUGAUGACCUAAAAAUUAUGCUCAGUAGGAUUACUCUGAGGCCC
ensembl:snoRNA SNORD115 Small nucleolar RNA SNORD115